rnacentral:tRNA from 1 species
GGGGCCCUAGUAAAAUAGCACAUCACACUGCCUUGUCAAGGCAGAAUUGCAGGUUGAACCCCUGCGGGCCCUG